rnacentral:rRNA from 1 species
GAAGCGGCAAAAGCUCAAAUUUGAAAUCUGGCACCUUCGGUGUCCGAGUUGUAAUUUGAAGAUUGUAACCUUGGGGUUGGCUCUUGUCUAUGUUUCUUGGAACAGGACGUCACAGAGGGUGAGAAUCCCGUGCGAUGAGAUGCCCAAUCCUAUGUAAGGUGCUUUCGAAGAGUCGAGUUGUUUGGGAAUGCAGCUCUAAGUGGGUGGUAAAUUCCAUCUAAAGCUAAAUAUUGGCGAGAGACCGAUAGCGAACAAGUACAGUGAUGGAAAGAUGAAAAGAACUUUGAAAAGAGAGUGAAAAAGUACGUGAAAUUGUUGAAAGGGAAGGGUUUGAGAUCAGACUCGAUAUUUUGUGAGCCUUGCCUUCGUGGCGGGGUGACCCGCAGCUUAUCGGGCCAGCAUCGGUUUGGGCGGUAGGAUAAUGGCGUAGGAAUGUGACUUUGCUUCGGUGAAGUGUUAUAGCCUGCGUUGAUGCUGCCUGCCUAGACCGAGGACUGCGAUUUUAUCAAGGAUGCUGGCAUAAUGAUCCCAAACCGCCCGUCUUGAAACACGGACCAAAA